rnacentral:rRNA from 1 species
GAUGAACGCUGGCGGCGUGCCUAAUACAUGCAAGUCGAGCGAACGGACGAGAAGCUUGCUUCUCUGAUGUUAGCGGCGGACGGGUGAGUAACACGUGGAUAACCUACCUAUAAGACUGGGAUAACUUCGGGAAACCGGAGCUAAUACCGGAUAAUAUUUUGAACCGCAUGGUUCAAAAGUGAAAGACGGUCUUGCUGUCACUUAUAGAUGGAUCCGCGCUGCAUUAGCUAGUUGGUAAGGUAACGGCUUACCAAGGCAACGAUGCAUAGCCGACCUGAGAGGGUGAUCUGGCACUCUGGCAAAGAGUAACGGUACAGUCGCCAACGAUACUGCGCCUGAUGGAGUUUUCCGCUAUGGUCGAAAGCCUAACGCAGCAACCGCGCGUUAGAGCUAAAGGUCUACGGAUCGUAAAGCUGUUUUUUUUGGGUCGAACAUGUGUAUAAGUAAACCGUCACAUUUUAACGGUACCUAAUCAGAAAUCCACGGCUAACUACGUG